AGCGGGUGUGGGACUGCGCGAAAUCCGGGGCGGGUUAGGAUUAGGGAAAGGUAAAGAGAGGAGAGGAGGCCGAAAGUAGAAAAGUAGGCCCAAGAGAAAUUGAGCAGUAAAAGAGCCUUUGGUUUAUGAAAUAAAGUAAAACAAAAGUCUGGACUGUGGUCUCCUGAUUCCUGGAGGGCAGUUUGAGUGACAGAGGACAGAAAUAAAGGAGGCAAAAUAUGAGCAGUGGUGGUCAUUCGCCAGAUGAACGAGACAGCCGAUAAAAACGAGAAAUUUAGAGAUUGGCAGAGUGGUCAGAAAAACAAAUUUAGAGCGGCGCGUGCUCUGCGGCCAGGAAUAGGGAAGGGGAUGUGUGCGCUUGAGACACAGAGCUGCUGCAAGAAAGGAAGCCUCCACUGACCCUGGCACUUGCUGCUGUGUAUCUGAAGCCUUGGUGACUAGUAGUUUGGAAGGCCUUGGGCCUCAGGGCAGGCAAGGAGAUCCCAGUUCCUCUGCUGUCUCUUAGAUGUUCCCUUCACAAACCUACCAAAAGAAGGGGGCUGCCAACCAAUGUCAUCACUCGACCUGUCACAAGAAGAGGGCAUUUGCUCUCAGUCAGACUGCUCGUUCUGGUGCCUCCUUCUUCAGUGGCUGGCACUGCAGCCUGGCAGUCAUUGCAACAUUUAGCACCCACAUCUGGCCUUAUUGGAAAAUCAGGCUUCUCUUAUCCUGGUUUCCUGGACUGGGAUAUUCUUCACUAACUUUCUCCUGAAGAGUCUCUGAAAUGGUGCUUAAAAAGGGUGAACACAGAAAUGUAGAAGUCAGCCACCACAAGAUGUCUAACCAAUUUUGAUGUGAAAACUCAAGUCCCACCUGAGAACACCAGGCUGAAUGCUGUGCUGCAGAGGAGAGCGGCCUGGACAUGGCCACCUCGUGGCCAUCUGCAUAAAGCCCCAGUUAGUGGCAAGAUUGAGCCUUACCCUGCAAACAAGGGCAAAGGAGAAGCAGGAGGGUGGAAUUUGCAGUGUCUCAUCUUGGUGAGAUAGUUGGAAGACUUUUCUACCAAUUAUAAUGGUUAAACACUGACUCAACAUCCAACAACUGCAUGAGCGGUCAGAGCGUUCAUUCAUGGGCAAGUUUCAAAAUGAGACCCGGAGCACCACCUGUCAUGGACGAUGGAGCCAGAGAACAGAGGGGUGGAUUUCACACCCAGAAAGGUGGCUGCUUUCUGGAGAGUCUGCAGGAGCCAAUACUUCCUAACACGGUGACAUUGGGAAGUGCCUUUGCAGCCCUCCUCAGUUUCAUUGCCCAAAGGGUUUGUUUGUACUGGGAAUUCUUAGGCUCUUAAUUCUGUCCCUGCUUCCUGUGCCACUUCCGUAGGAGACUGGAUUCGGGAAGGGAGGGACCUCACCCCCCG
rnacentral:lncRNA from 1 species